rnacentral:rRNA from 1 species
GGAAAGCAGGGGAUCGCAAGACCUUGCGCUCUUUGAGCGGCCGAUGUCAGAUUAGCUAGUUGGUGAGGUAACGGCUUACCAAGGCGACGAUCUGUAGCGGGUCUGAGAGGAUGAUCCGCCACACUGGAACUGAGACACGGUCCAGACUCCUACGGGAGGCAGCAGUGGGGAAUUUUGGACAAUGGGGCAACCCUGAUCCAGCCAUGCCGCGUGAGUGAAGAAGGCCUUCGGGUUGUAAAGCUCUUUCGGCCGGGAAGAAAUCGCAUGGGUUAAUACCCUGUGUGGAUGACGGUACCGGCAUAAGAAGCACCGGCUAACUACGUG